rnacentral:rRNA from 1 species
AAGCGGUGGAGGCAUGUGGUUUAAUUCGAAGCAACGCGAAAAACCUUACCAAGUCUUGACAUCCUGAUGACGGUUCCUUAACCGGAACUUUUCUUCGGAACAUCAGAGACAGGUGGUGCAUGGUUGUCGUCAGCUCGUGUCGUGAGAUGUUGGGUUAAGUCCCGCAACGAGCGCAACCCCUAUUUCCAGUAGCCAGCAGUAAGAUGGGCACUCUGGAGAGACUGCCGGGGAUAACCCGGA